GCCGAUGUAGCUCAGAUGGCUAGAGCAGCUGAUUUGUAAUCAGCAGGUCGUGGGUUCGAGUCCCUCCAUCGGCU
rnacentral:tRNA from 1 species